GACUUCGUAGCGCAAACGGUAGCGCGUUUGAUUUCAUAUCAAAAGGUUGCGUGUUCAAAUCACGUCGCAGUCA
rnacentral:tRNA from 1 species